GCUUACGGCCACACCGCCUGGUUCACGCCCAAUCUCGUUUGAUCACGGAAACUAAGAUAGGGUGGGCCAGGUUAGUACUUGGAUGGGAGACCGCCUGGGAAUACCAGGUGCUGUAAGCU
ensembl:rRNA 5S_rRNA 5S ribosomal RNA